rnacentral:rRNA from 1 species
CCUGAUGCAGCAACGCCGCGUGAGGGAUGACGGCCUUCGGGUUGUAAACCUCUUUUAGCAGGGAAGAAGCGAAAGUGACGGUACCUGCAGAAAAAGCGCCGGCUAACUACGUGCCAGCAGCCGCGGUAAUACGUAGGGCGCAAGCGUUAUCCGGAAUUAUUGGGCGUAAAGAGCUCGUAGGCGGUCUGUCGCGUCUGCUGUGAAAACCCGAGGCUCAACCUCGGGCCUGCAGUGGGUACGGGCAGACUAGAGUGCGGUAGGGGAGAUUGGAAUUCCUGGUGUAGCGGUGGAAUGCGCAGAUAUCAGGAGGAACACCGAUGGCGAAGGCAGAUCUCUGGGCCGUAACUGACGCUGAGGAGCGAAAGGGUGGGGAGCAAACAGGCUUAGAUACCCUGGUAGUCCACCCCGUAAACGUUGGGAACUAGUUGUGGGGGCCUUUCCACGGUCUCCGUGACGCAGCUAACGCAUUAAGUUCCCCGCCUGGGGAGUACGGCCGCAAGGCUAAAACUCAAAUGAAUUGACGGGG